rnacentral:lncRNA from 1 species
AGGUAGCUGCAGCUGCUGACCCGGAGGAGGAACCUCUCUCCUGGAGGCAUUCAUCCCACACUCUAAGGAAAGGGAAUGGACCACUUGAGCCCAGGAGUUCGAGAUGGGCCGCUGGGUAACCAAACAGCAUGAGAGGGAGGUUUGUCAUCGCGGAAGUAUUCCAGCCAGUGAACAAAGAAGGCAUAGCUGAGGGGAUAUCCACCUUCCGUGCCAGACAGCGCAUGUCAGCCUCCCAGGGGAUGCAAGCCUCAGCCCCGCAGACCUGCUGGA